UAUUUUCCCAAAUCCGCGUCCCUCUCUAUCGUGCGUUCACCGUCUUCUCAAUUUUCAGUGCUCUAUCUCCAGCGGGCUGCGAGUUCAGUGAUGGCUAGGUCCAAUGGCAGUCGCCGAUCGAGGAGGGUUGCGUUAGGACAUCAAUUCGCGCCGACACUGGACGAGGCCGAUUCUCACAGGGUGCAGUCGGCGUCUCGGUCUUUCAAGCGCCGGUCUGGUCACGGUCCUCCGCCUUCCACGGCGGGUGGUUCAUUUGACCAGGCUACGGGGUAGCUUCCAGGGUCUCCGCAAGGAGUAGGGCGGCGCGCCGGUGGCCACAGCGAGGUUGUGAUGCUCAACAACCGGUGGUGUUAAGCGAUGAGGAAAGUGACACGGAUGAGGAUUUUCAUACCCCACCACGUGAUCCCGAGGAGCUGGAGAAUGUGGAACCAGUGCGUGGUGUGCCUCCACAUGGAAGCCUCCCGUUCUCCCAAAUCAAGACAGGAGGGAGGCCAAGGGAACUCGUACGCCUCGUGGCCUUACUUACUCUACGACAGAGGCAAGAUGUUUGUUCUAUUGUCACACGCGUUGGGGAGUAUGAUCGCGGAAGGUCCACACGACUGCUCCAAGUAUUAGAACAACCGCCUCAGUAACAACCAUCCAACUCAAGGGCUGACCCGGCAAAAAUUUAGAUUCAUAGUGCAGCAGAAGCAAUGACGUGGGGAGUUUCUCUACCCGCUGGUUUCUGUGUAUAAAGCCCAUGGGGUAACUUGUGCAACAGUGCAAUCCAUUUCUUUUUUGUUACGAUUAUUGUGCGGCAGGAGCAAAUUCAAUCAUUUAAUUGGACUAA